rnacentral:rRNA from 1 species
UACGGAGGGAGCUAGCGUUGUUCGGAAUUACUGGGCGUAAAGCGCGCGUAGGCGGCUUUGUAAGUUAGAGGUGAAAGCCCGGGGCUCAACUCCGGAACUGCCUUUAAGACUGCAUCGCUUGAAUCCGGGAGAGGUGAGUGGAAUUCCUGGUGUAGCGGUGAAAUGCGUAGAUAUCAGGAGGAACACCGGUGGUGUAGACGGCUCACUGGACCGUAACUGACGCUGAGAACACGAAAGCGUGGGUAGCAAACAGG